rnacentral:tRNA from 1 species
GGUUUAGGAUGGCAAAGAGAGUGCCUUGGGUUUAAGCCUCAAAUACAAGAUGAAAUGUCUUUCCUAAAA